GACGAACCGUGCGAACGUUAUUCGGAAUCACUGGGCUUAAAGGGUGCGUAGGCGGCUGAGAGGGUGGGGUGUGAAAUCCCUCGGCUUAACCGAGGAACUGCCGUCCAAACUGCUUUGCUUGAGGCCGGGAGAGGCGAGUGGAAUUCCCAGUGUAGCGGUGAAAUGCGUAGAUAUUGGGAGGAACACCAGUGGCGAAGGCGGCUCGCUGGACCGGUUCUGACGCUGAUGCGCGAAAGCGUGGGGAGCAAACGGG
rnacentral:rRNA from 1 species